rnacentral:tRNA from 27 species
UUGGGAUAGCUCAGUUGGUAGAGCAGAGGACUGAAAAUCCUCGUGUCAC